CUAGGAGCUAUUUUCAGGAUGAAGAGAAACCUGAAAUUACAACAAAGCAUAAAAAGGCCUCAACCUGAAAGGCAACAUGACCUUGUCUUCAAUGUUGUCUGGGGAGAUGCCUGUUGCCUUUGCUGUGAGAGUCCUACACUGCUUAAGCUGUGGGAAGUCCCACCCCGUUUAAGCUCUUGAGAAGGAGGCUACUCUCCAGAGAGGCGGUGACGACUACCCAGGCUAAAUGUCUUGGAGUUUUCUUGCUGAGACAGGAGCCAGAGUCUUCUACAGAACAAAAUGCUAAGUGUAAUUUGCAGAUAAUCUUCAUAAUGAAGACACUGCGGACUGAGAC
rnacentral:lncRNA from 1 species